AGAGUUUGAUCAUGGCUCAGAUUGAACGCUGGCGGCAUGCCUUACACAUGCAAGUCGAACGGCAGCACGGGGGCAACCCUGGUGGCGAGUGGCGAACGGGUGAGUAAUACAUCGGAACGUGUCCUGUAGUGGGGGAUAGCCCGGCGAAAGCCGGAUUAAUACCGCAUACGCUCUACGGAGGAAAGGGGGGGAUCUUAGGACCUCCCGCUACAGGGGCGGCCGAUGGCAGAUUAGCUAGUUGGUGGGGUAAAGGCCUACCAAGGCGACGAUCUGUAGCUGGUCUGAGAGGACGACCAGCCACACUGGGACUGAGACACGGCCCAGACUCCUACGGGAGGCAGCAGUGGGGAAUUUUGGACAAUGGGGGCAACCCUGAUCCAGCAAUGCCGCGUGUGUGAAGAAGGCCUUCGGGUUGUAAAGCACUUUUGUCCGGAAAGAAAACGCCGUGGUUAAUACCCGUGGCGGA
rnacentral:rRNA from 1 species